GACGAACGCUGGCGGCGUGCUUAAAAAAUGAAAGUCGAAAGGAAAGGCCCCUUUGGGGGUAGGCGAGCGGCGAACGGGUGAGUAACACGUGAGUAACCUGCCCUUGACUUCGGGAUAACUUCAGGAAACUGGGGCUAAUACCGGAUAGGAAUCCUUGCUGCAUGGUGGGGGUGGGAAAGCUUCGGCGGUUUUGGAUGGACUCGCGGCUUAUCAGCUUGUUGGUGGGGCAGUGGCUUACCAAGGCUUUGACGGGGAGGCGGCCUGGGAGGGCGACCGGCCACAUUGGGACUGAGAUACGGCCCAGACUCCUACGGGAGGCAGCAGUGGGGAAUAUUGCACAAUGGGCGGAAGCCUGAUGCAGCAACGCCGCGGGCGGGAUUCCGGCCUUCGGGUUGUAAACCGCUUUCAGCAGGGGCGAAGCUUGUGGUGACGGUACCUGCAGAAGAAGCACCGGCUCCCUACGUC
rnacentral:rRNA from 1 species